rnacentral:misc_RNA from 1 species
UAAUUGCGUUAGCGAUUGCAGUGAAAAUCCCCAAACUUUUUUGUUUGGGAUUGUAACGUAAAGUGCGACCCUUG